rnacentral:rRNA from 1 species
AACGAACGCUGGCGGCAGGCUUAGCACAUGCAAGUCGAACGCUCGUAGCAAUACGGGAGUGGCGGACGGGUGAGUAACGCGUGGGAACGUGCCCUGAGGUACGGAAUAACUGAGGGAAACUUCAGCUAAUACCGUAUGAGCCCCGAGAGGGGAAAGAUUUAUCGCCUUGGGAGCGGCCCGCGUCGGAUUAGCUAGUUGGUGGGGUAACGGCCUACCAAGGCUUCGAUCCGUAGCUGGUCUGAGAGGACGAUCAGCCACACUGGGACUGAGACACGGCCCAGACUCCUACGGGAGGCAGCAGUGGGGAAUCUUGCGCAAUGGGGGCAACCCUGACGCAGCCAUGCCGCGUGAACGAUGAAGGCCUUAGGGUUGUAAAGUUCUUUUACCCGUGACGAUGAUGACGGUAACGGGGAAUAAGCUCCGGCUAACUUCGUGCCAGCAGCCGCGGUAAU